UCCUCGAUAGCUCAGUUGGUAGAGCAUCGGACUGUUAAUCCGCAGGUCCCUGGUUCGAGUCCAGGUCGAGGAGCCA
rnacentral:tRNA from 3 species